AUUUUAAAUUUUAAUUUGGUUUACAAUUAAUUUUAAUAUGUUUAUAUAUAUAAAAUUUUUUAUUUUUAAGUUUUUAAAUAAACUUUUAAUAAAAUUUAAUGUAUAAAAUUAAUAAUUUUUAAUAAUUUAAAUGUUAGAUAAUAUUAUAUUAUAAAAUAAUUUUGUGCCAGCAUUUGCGGUUAUACAAAAUAAUAAAAAUUAAUAUAAUUAUAAUUUAAUUAAUAUAAAUUAUUCUAAAUAUUAAAAUUAAAAAAUUUUAUUUUAUGAUAAAAUAAAAAUUUUAUUUAUUAUUUUUGAUUUUUAAAUUAAUUUAAUUUUAAAAAGUUAAAGUUUAGACUAGGAUUAGAUACCCUAUUAUUUUAAUUAAUUUAGUUUAUUAUAAAUGAUUAUAUUUUUUUUUAAAAAAUUAAAAAUAAUGGCGGUGUUUUAAUCUAUUUAGGGGAACUUGUUUAUAUAAUUUGAUAAUCCACGAUAAAAUAAACAUAAUUUUAAUAUAUUUAUGUAUGUUUGUAAUAAAAAUAUUUUAUAAAGAUAUAUUUAUUAAUUUUUAUUAAAAUUAAUUUCAGAUCAAUAUGUAAUUUAUAAUUUUGAAUAAAUGAGUUACUAUAAUUUUUAUUUUAUUUGGAUUUGAUAAUUGUUAUUAUUAAUAAAAUUGGAUUUAAUAGUAAAAAAAAAAAUUUUUUUUUUUGAAUAUAGUUUUAAAAUAUGUACAAAUUGCCCGUCGCUUUUAUUAUAAUAAAAUAAGUCGUAACAAAGUAAAUGUACUGGAAAGUGUAUUUAG
rnacentral:ncRNA from 1 species